ACCCCGCACAAGCGGUGGAGUAUGUGGUUUAAUUCGAAGCAACGCGAAGAACCUUACCAGGUCUUGACAUGGUGUUUAAGGCCCUAGAGAUAGGGAGAUAUAAGCACACACAGGUGGUGCAUGGUUGUCGUCAGCUCGUGUCGUGAGAUGUUGGGUUAAGUCCCGCAACGAGCGCAACCCUUGUCUUUAGUUACCAUCAUUCAGUUGGGGACUCUAGAGAGACUGCCGGUGAUAAACCGGAGGAAGGUGGGGAUGACGUCAAAUCAUCAUGCCCCUUAUGACCUGGGCUACACACGUACUACAAUGGCGCAUACAACGAGCUGCGAGAUGGUGACAUCAAGCGAAUCUCUUAAAAUGCGUCUCAGUUCAGAUUGGAGUCUGCAACUCGACUCCAUGAAGUCGGAAUCGCUAGUAAUCGCGGAUCAGCAUGCCGCGGUGAAUACGUUCUCGGGGUUU
rnacentral:rRNA from 1 species